GUAAAUAAAUUUUUAUUUUAUUUUACCCUUACAUUUUAUUUACAGUGUAUUUGUAAUUGCUAAGAAUGAAGUUAAUUAAUUAAAUUGUAAACUAUUUUCUUUUAAUUUUGAUAAUGUAGAAAGUCAAAUACAAAUUAAAUUGUAUCCUCUUUGUUUUCGUUUGUUCUUUCUCUAUGACUAGAAAUUGGCGCUGAAUUUGCUGGUCAACCGUUAAAGAAUCCUCAGCUUUUAAGAGAGAGAAAGAAAAGAAAUCAAAGUAGUCUCUAUUUUCUUCUGUUCUGUGUCUUUUUCUUGGUGGCAGUUCUCUAGCUCUAUUCUAAUAUAUUGAAGUUUUACAGCAAAGACUUCAAAUUAUGGUUA
rnacentral:lncRNA from 1 species